CUGAGGUCCUCUCCAAGGUUUCUCAUAGUCAGCAUUGUCACUGGCGUCCCACUGGAUGUGUUUCCUUGCCCUUUUGUGGGUUCUUCCGAGGAUGUUGUAGUCGUAAUGAUUUGUGCAGUCCUUUGAGACAUUUGUGAUUUGGGGCUAUAUAAAUAAACAUUGAUUGAUUGAUUGAGGUUCAGUGUGUCUGCUUUCUUUGUUGGACCAUCUGGAGAGUCUUUUUUUUUUUGACUGGAGCAAAACUACUGUCAGUUUAAAGGGGAACAUUAUCAGCAGACCUAUGCAAGCGUCAAUAUAUACCUUGAUGGUGCAGAAAAAAGACCAUAUAUUUUUUUAACCGAUUUCCGAACUCUAAAUGGGUGAAUUUUGGCAAAUUAAACGCCUUUCUGUUUAUCGCUCAUGUGGCGCCAUUUUCAUUUUCAAAACAUUACAAACACCGGGUCUCAGCUCUGUUAUUUUCAGUUUUUUCGACUAUUUUUUGAAACCUUGGAGACAUCAUGUCCCGUCGGUGUGUUGUCGGAGGGUGUAACAACACUAACAGGGAGGGAUUCAAGUUGCACCACUGGCCCGUAGAUGCGAAAGUGUCUGCCGCCAGACCCCCAUUGAAUGUGCCAAAGUGUCUCCACAUUUUACCGGCGAUGCUAAGACAGACAUGGCACAGAGAUGUAUGGAUAACCUGCAGAUGCAUUUGCAACAAUAAAGUCAACAAAAUCCCAAAGGUGAGUUUUGUUGAUGUUGUUGACUUAUGUGCUAAUCAGACAUAUUUGGUCGCGGCGUGACUGCCAGCUAAUCUAUGCUCACAUGCUACGCUAAUCGAUGCUUAUAUGCUAUUUACAGGCGGUGCUAAGGCAGACAUGGCACAGAGAUGUAUGGAUAACCUGCAGAUGCAUUUGCAACAAUAAAGUCAACGAAAUCACAAAGGCGGUGCUAAGGCAGACAUGGCACAGAGAUGUAUGAAUAACCUGCAGAUGCAUUUGCAGCGAUAAAAUCAACGAAAUCACAAAGACGUGACACAGAGAUGUAUGAAUAACCUGCAGAUGCAUUUGCAACGAUAAAAUCAACGAAAUCACAAAGGCGGUGCUAAGGCAGACAUGGCACAGAGAUGUAUGGAUAACCUGCAGAUGGAUUUGCAACGAUUAAGUCAACAAAAUCACAAAGAGAACACAAGUCUGGUGCUGGAAGAUACAAACAUCCUAUCCGUCGGCAUCCCAGUGAGAGCAGCCAUUGUACAAUUAGGAUGAAUUCUUCAUCUAAACGGGAAGAUAUAUGAACAUCCAUUCAGUCGGCAUCCCAGCGAGAGCAGACAUUGUGCAGCGUGAAAUAAAGCAAUCGGACAUUGAACUGAACUCGGGGCGAUGGCGAGCAGUGAGGUCAUGGCGUGACGCGCCCCCUCAGACGGCUUUUCCCAGGAUGAGGAUGCUCAUGAAGAAGACCAUGAUGAAGAAGAGCCACAUGAAGAAGCGAUCCAUCACCUUGGCCACCUUCCUCCACUCGCCGAUGCGGAGUUGCGCCGCUCGCUGGUCCUGGUAGGAACCGGCGAUGUAUUCCACGUUCCUGUGCAGUCCCUGAAGGUGACACGCGCACUGCAGCUUCCUCUGCUCCUUCCUGUCCUCCGCGCUCACCCCUCCCUCUCCCUUUGGCUCCACCGACACGCCGCCGGUGCUCUUUGGCUCCUCCCCCUGGCCGUCACCUCGCCCGGCAGCUCCGCCCUCCUCCGAGUGGUGGACGCUGACGAGCGGGUCGUCUUUCCGAUCGCUCUUGUUUGGGACGUCGUGCCCGUAGUUCUGCGCCCACCUCCUCCCGUUGCAGCUGCCGGCCUCGCUUGACUCCUCCCCCGACGGCGGCUUCCUGCGGGAGACCCCCCCGCUGAGGCAGUUGUCCCCCACCUCGUAGACGAAGCAGAUCCGGGCCAGGUGUUUGAGGAUGAAGCGCUCGGCCCAAGCUGGCACGGGUCCGGCCUCUGAGCCGCAGUGAUGGAUGUUCAUGAUGAAGAUGGACUCUGCAAAAAACUGACCUGUUGUACAGGACGAUGUCGGGCCGCCACACGUAGCUGCUCGGUAUGCGGAUGGCGUCCAGGCCAUCGUAGUCGUCCUUCUUCCAGGUGAGGAAGGCGUCCAUCCACACCUGGCGGACCCACAGCGUGACCUGCAGCGUCACGUUGAUGACGUGGUCCGUGUCCGCCACAGGACGCAAGGCGUUGGUGUAGUUGGAGAACAAGUCGCUCAGGAGCUUCUGGGCGUAACGACCGUGAGCGGACCGGCAUGCUGCGCGGACAGGAAGUAAAAUCCAUCCAUCCAUCCAUUUUCUACCAUUUAUCCCCUUCGGGGUUGCAGAGGGCGCUGGCGCCUAUCUCAGCUACGAUCAGGCGGAAGGCGGUGUACACCCUGGACAAGUCGCCACCUCAUCACAGGGCACCAGCUUCUUCAUAUUUUCAUGGAUAAAUGUCCGCCGUUUGGAUGUCACUGUAACAUUCCUGGCUAACGUUAUCGGCUCAUUCUGCUGCUGUCACGACUUGGACUUGGGCGUGGAUUGUUUUCCCGAGGCAACGAAAAGUUGGCGUGAAUGAAGGAUGAAACUUCCUGAUGCAACCCUGGCCGGGAAUCGAACCCAUGCGAGGCAGAUGCGUGUCCCGUUACCCCAGCAGGGACGCCUCACGCUUGGGAGACAUAACGGAGGUGAAAGUUAAGACGUGAAAUAAAAAGAAGUGAGGAUGUCCUGCGGUGUAGCGACUUUAUGUCUAUCAAUCAUUAUUUGUAUUGAUGCUUUCUUGAGAGGACUACAAUACGAUCACUGAUCGGAUGUUCCAGCCCUGUCAUUACUUUUAACUCUCAAUCUCACCUUCAUUCCUCUUUCUUUCUUUUCUUUCCAAGUUUG